GCAUUGGUGGUUUAGUGGUAGAAUUUUCGCUUUCCGUGCAGGAGACCUAGGUCAAAUUCCUGGUCAAUUCA
rnacentral:tRNA from 1 species